UGGGGCAGCAGGUCUGUAGCAAUACAGAUGCUGGCGACCGGCAAACGGGUGCGGAACACGUACGCAACCUUCCUUCAAGUGGGGGAUAGCCCGGGGAAACCCGGAUUAAUACCCCGUAAUAUUAUGAGGUGGCAUCAUCUUAUAAUUAUAGCAGCAAUGCGCUAGAAGAUGGGCGUGCGCCUGAUUAGGUAGUUGGCGGGGUAACGGCCCACCAAGCCUACGAUCAGUAACUGGUGUGAGAGCACGACCAGUCACACGGGCACUGAGACACGGGCCCGACUCCUACGGGAGGCAGCAGUAAGGAAUAUUGGUCAAUGGACGCAAGUCUGAACCAGCCAUGCCGCGUGGAGGAUGAAGGUCCUCUGGAUUGUAAACUUCUUUUAUCUGAGAAGAAACCCAGGAAUUCUUUCCUGGCUGACGGUACCAGAUGAAUAAGCACCGGCUAACUCCGUGCCAGCAGCCGCGGUAAUACGGAGGGUGCAAGCGUUA
rnacentral:rRNA from 1 species